rnacentral:sRNA from 12 species
GAACAAUGUAUAAACUAUGACCAACUCAGUGCAGAGGGUACACACUGCUGAGAUGGGCGAUUAAGGAAUGGCAAAGAGGGAUACCUUUAGCAUAUGCCUUUUGACCGUAGGCGACUCGGUCUUGAAGAGAUUAAUUUCUCAACAAUCGUUUAGUGCAAUAAUUGAAUAGGAAUAAGACAGUAAGUGAAAGGGCGAGACAAUAGACGCUCUCUGUGAGAGAAUAACCCUAGAUGGUCGGCUGAUGUGGUAGUCAGUGACGGACAAAGGGAAUACCAAUACCAAUAACUCGUUUAGCAGUGAUGCUGGGUUUCCAGCUAUAACUUUUGCUUAUGUACCAGUAGCCGAAUCUGCUAUAGAUAAAGAAAAUAAUGGAGCAGAACUCCCUAUAGUUUAAAUUUUUCUGAAAGUCGGUGAAAGUUGUGGGUCACAAUCCCAUAUGGUUUUAGGUCAAUGCUUCGGCGUUGAUGGUAUAAGAAGCCUAGGAGUCGCUCUCCUUUGCUCAGACUUAUAUCACCAUUAGUCUAAUAAUUUGGUUCAAUUGUUUGUAAGGGGAAACCUUGGUCGUGAUUUAUAGUUCUU